AUCGCCAGAAAAGGGAUUGGCAAGGAUCACGCAAAAUGGUCGCCGGCGGCAACCGUAACUUUCAUGUAUGAACCAGAUAUUCAUAUCAAUGAGGAUUUGAUGGAAACUUUGACACUUGAGGAAAAACAAAGUUGGGUUGAAAGUAGUCCUACCAAAGUGUUUGAUAUUGAUCCCGUUACCCAACAGGUUGUAGUGGUUGAUCCUGAAGCAUACAC
rnacentral:misc_RNA from 1 species